ACAAAUAAAAUAACCAUAUGCUUUUAUUUCAAUUAUUCACUUUUGUAUGUGUCAUCAUGAUACUUAAAAAUCAUCAUCUCAAUCAGAAUCAUGUUGUAUUAGGUGCUGUCUUUUGCAAAGAUUCCACCCUUCCUUUAGACAAGUCAACAGGAGAGGCAGAGAGGGCAGGGAUGGGAGGCAGGAGUGACUUUGCCCAGAGGAUGGAGUGGCAGAACUGUGAAUGGAAACUGUGUUAUAAAUCUGUCCUGCCUUCUGGGCAGCAUCAUCCCUUACAGGAGCUCAAAAGUUUGCUGCUGAACUGGCAGGAGGCAGUUCACAGCCUAAACAUUAGUCUGGAGUCUCCAGGAACCCCUGGGUACCUCUGAUAUUUUCUUCCAUCAGGCCACCUCAUGAGAGUCACAUCCCUAGCUGCCAAUACUGAUUUUUGUGUCCAUGUUUGGAUUUUUUUUUCCCCAGCUCCAACUUUAAUAAGCCUCCUGGGCUUGCUUUGAAGAUUUCUUCUGCAACUGCAAAUAAACUCUCAUGUGCCUCUGAUGCUUCUAUUUGGAUUAAAAAAGUUGAGUGACCUUGUUUUAAAGACUGAACAAAGAACUCUUGAAGACACGUGGAGAUGGGUACUCAACACACACCUGAACGCAAACCUGGAGUAGAGAAAAGAACCUUGACUGAAGCUCUUGAGACAUGUUGAAACAACCUGAGAUCACCUGAAAGGAAACCUGAAAUGUCAUGAUUCCUGGGACACAGCAUCUCUUUGAGCAGAAGGACCACAGUGAUGAAUUCACAAAUGCAGUCAUUGCUUAUUUGAGACAGAAGGCGUAUUUUUUAGGUCAGGACAGUGGGGUAAGCAGGGUAAAAAGAUCCUGAGAGAGAACAAAAAGGGCUAAGUGACAUUUAGUCUGUGAUAUGAAUUAUUUUCUUCAUUUAGUUCUGCAUUUUAAACUUUUCUUUGGAAGGUGUGGUGAGAAGUGAGUUUAUAGGAUAGAAAACACAGGUUAGACUCACUCACUCUGCUGUAGCUAGUUGUUUUUUUUUUUUUUAAUUGAGGUUUAGGAACAGUCUUUGUCUGUUUCUCCUUCAAUUGUAUUUUUAACUUUUGGCAGAGUCACACAGUUUUGACUAUGCUUAUUUUUAUAGAUUUCAGAAAACAAAAUAAAUAAAAACAAGCUAUUUGUAUCUCAAUGCUUGUGUCAUUCAGUCAUAGCCAUGACUUUCAAUGGUCAAAACAGAACCCAACAACUGUUUUUCUACAGCUGUGGAGAGCUUGGAUAAUACUUGAUAGUGCUAAAGGUACAAUAUGUUUUCCCAAAAGCCCCCUUUUUUGCUUCCAGUAAGAGGAAGUUCUUAUUUAUAGGACAGCUGCCAAAAGAUGAAAUGUUAUAGAACUGCUUUUCUCCAAGUAAGUCUGUACCAGCAGCUGGUAUUUCCUAGAGUAGAAAUCACUGCUUCCAUGGAGAGGCAGUUUAUGCUGAGAUCCUGAAACACACAUACAUCACUGUGUAUGAAUAUCACGUCCCCCUCUGUGCUGCUCCUGGCCCCAGACACUAUGGUGUUGCUCCCCUCCUGCAUGGUGGGGUGGGUGGUAGGCAGCAGCAGGGCUCUCUGUGCUCUGCAUUCAGAUGUCAGCUAUUACUACAUUAAUCCCAUGGUUCUUCUUCUUCUGAGAACUCUCUGAAUGUUUAUAUGGAUGAGGAACUUCCCUGUAUUUCAGUGCCAGCAAUGGGGAGACCUUUUGAGGAUGUAGUGUGCCACCAUCUGCCAGCCGUGGUUUUGCAAGCCAACCCUUGUGCUAUUAGGCAGUUCUGCAGUGCAUUAUGGAAGCCAAAAGCUAUUCCAUCUCUCCUUUUUCUGCUUUCAGUUGGAUGUACAGGGCAACAAAAAAGCAGAUAAAUGCUGGAAGGUGGCAAAGGGCAGCAGGAUGGGACAGUGAUGCUAUAUCAGGGGAGUCUUCCUUUGGCACGGCCUUACUCAGGAUGAUUUUGCAUCAAGGCCUGAGAAGCAUGGUCUGUUAGGGCAGGGUUUUAGGGCUUUGUUUUUACAGUCUUGUAAAGAAUGUAAUUGUCAUAAAAGGAGCUUUCUGGUAUGUCUUAAUCUAAAAGUCCAAUAAAAAUUGAA